GUUUAAAUAGCUUAAAAUAAAAGCUUUUUAUUGAAGAUGAAAAAAUGAUAAUUAAUUAUCUUUAAACA
rnacentral:tRNA from 1 species